CGGGGCAUGGUGUAAUGGCAACAUACACGCAUGGGGUGCGUGUGAUUUCUGGGUUCAAAUCCCAGUGCCCCGA
rnacentral:tRNA from 1 species